rnacentral:misc_RNA from 1 species
GGGUAUUGUAUUCGUGGAGUAGUAAUAGUCUUAUCUUUGAGGCACGUGCAUAUAUUUCUUCGGAUCGUUGAGAGUGCGAGUAAUCCAAUGAAAAAUGUCAAGUCCGAGCAAGAAAAGGAAGAAAAGUUUGUUGAACAAGUUAUGGUCCAUAUUUAAAGCGAAAGAUGAUGAGGAUUUCUAUAAUAAGCAAGAGAAAGCGUUUGGUAGCGGGCAAACCGAACUUUUGGAAAGCGCACCUUGCAGUUCUGAUCAACAGGUCGCAAAAGUUAGCAGUGAAAUUUGUGUAGCAAUUCCGAAAAAUAGUUUGUCUCGAAAUGAGGAGUGUACCGAUAAUAAGAAUUUGUCAGAUAUGCGAGAGGAAUGUAAGAAUGUAGUUACUGUAAAAAGUGAAAGUUCCAGGUUUCUCAUUGUAGGCGAUAACCUGAGUGAAAAGCCUCAUAAGUAUAAUAGUACGAAAAAUGCACAGGUGGUGCGAGAUACCAAAUUAGGAUCGGACAGACAUAUGAAUACAAAAAUUGCUUUUCUGAAGCAAAAUAUAGGCGCAAGUUCUCGGUCAUCUCUGGGAGAUACUGAGAAAAUGCAUCACGAUAACGAAAUGGAAAGUCACGGUCCCAAGAUUGCAAUAUUACAAACCCUUAACAAUGCUAGCGUUACAAGCGAUACGAGCAAAUUUUUAGUAAAAGAAACAAAGGCAAUUUCCCAAGAGAGUAGUGAAGAUAGUGACUUCUCUGCAGACUCAACAGAAGACUCGUUUGAAGACUCUUCAGAAGAUGAAAACGAUCUAAUCGAGUCGCGAAAAUACUUUAAGGAUGAUUACUUUACAAAGGGAAAAUAUAUUACUUAUUUCUUCCUGGAAAUGGAACGGCAAUUCUACAAUCCUACAGAUGUUUACAGUAUAAUUCAGUAUCAUGAUACUGCUUGCAAAAAACCAGAGAAAGAAGGUGAAUACUCUUCCUCGGGAUCGUUAUCGCCGAGUAUAUCGGGACAAUUACGCCGUAGAUUACUUCAUAGAAGAUCUGCCGAUAACUUGAUCGUGAACUCACCUACAAACUCUUUGAGACAUUCUAGUCCAGACUCUAUUAAGAGUGCACCGAUACAUCAUAAGUCACGUUCAACAUCUCACGAUGCUCUGUCCAAAAAGAGAGAACGUUUCUUUUGUAAAACAACAGGAGUGUCUAUGGAUAGCUUGGCAAAGCAAUCAUUACUUGCUGCACAAGUACUUAAUCUAAUUCCUACUCAAAAGGCACGGGAAAGGAAUUUUCUUCACGGAAGAAUUGCCGCCAAUUCCUUACUUGGACCAGUGGAACUUGAGAAAGUAUUGCCUAAUCGAGAAUUGAAAAUUUUUAUUGGUACAUGGAAUAUGAAUGGCCAAACUCCGCCAAAGGAAUUGAACGAUUUUAUGUUGCCAUCCGACAUAGAGACUGUUCCUGAUUUGUUAGCUAUAGGAACUCAGGAAUCGUGUUCCGAACGACAUGAGUGGGAAGCCGCUCUGCAAGAAACUGUCGGUCCUUCGCAUGUGCUGCUAACUAGUAGUAACCUUGGUACGCUUUACCUUGCAAUAUUUAUAAGACGAGAUUUGAUUUGGUUCUGCUCCAUUCCGGAGGAAGACAGCUUUUCAACGAGACCUGGAACGGCGUUCCGAACAAAGGGCGCCGUAGCUAUAGCUCUUAUGAUAUUCGGCACCAGCUUUCUUUUUGUUACGGCUCAUUUGACCGCGCAUCAAGAUAAGGUAAAAGAACGAGUUAAUGAUAUAAAGAGAAUCGUGAGGAAUCUUGACCUUCCAAAAGAGUUACCUAGCAGGCACAAAAGUAAAGAUGUUACACAAAAUUUCGAUUGUGUGUUUUGGUGCGGUGAUUUGAACUUCCGUCUAGCUCAACCAAGAGAGGAAGUGAUUCAAUGGAUCACGAAUACGUGCUUUCCACAACAAUCACCGAUAAACAUGCAGCAAACAUGCAAAGAUCAGCUGAAAAAUAUCCUGAAUGAGGGCGCAGUAUUGCGCGGUUUCGAGGAAGCCCCGAUCAUGUUCCCUCCUACCUACAAAUACGAUCCAGGAACGCAGAUUUUUGAUUCCAGCAGCAAGCAACGUACUCCCGCGUAUACCGACAGAAUUCUCUUUAGGGGAAAAGGUCAUGCCAGAGGAUACAUCAGGCGUGUUAGCCACGAGAGUUCCGGUAUGCAUAAGGACGGAGUUAUAGAAUGCUUGGUAUACGAUUCCGUUCCAAGUAUAUGCACCUCGGAUCACAAGCCAGUCUGGGGAGUUUUUAAAACCACGCUGCGGCCAGGUGUCGAUACAAUUCCGCUUGGCGCUGGGCUUUUCAAUCGCGAGGUGUAUUUGGAAGGUAUUAGAAGGCGCGCGGCAGCGAUGGACGAUUCUCUUGAAAGUUCAAAAGUUUGUUCAAUUCAAUAAAGAAAUUUGAGGCUUUCGCUCGAGAGUAUUAGCAGAAUUGGUAAAGUAUUUAUAGCGAUGAAAGAAAACUUUUCUAGUAAGAUUUGUAUAAUAGAUAACAAUUACCAGUGAACACCGUAAAAGUCUAGUCAAGCAGUGGAAUAAAUCUUUUGUUUAGAAAGAUGAGAUGUAAAUGAGGAUUUUAUAAUGUAUCGUUGGUAUAGCUUCAUAUAUACCGAUGGUAUAUCUUCGUAUAUAUACCGUUGGUAUAUCUACAUUCGUAUUGUGCCACACAUUAGAAAAAUAAAAUGGCUUUUUUGGCUUUAAGUGGCCGAUAUUGUCAAAAAAUUACCAAAAAAUGAUAUUCUUUUUGUAACUGAGGGUUUUAUUAGAUGCAUUUUUUAUAGUAAUUCUAUAUUGUAGUGCGUUUAUCAAAAUAUAACUCGAAUAAUAUGGCAGAAUAUAUACAUAUUAUUAUGUAUGUAUUUAAAAUAUUGCAAAAAUUUGCAGUGUUAAAAAAUAAUUUUAUAAAUAUUAAGAGAGAGACAUAUUUAUGUAAUUUCCUGCUACUAAUCUGCUGCUAAUAAUUGACAUUUGUAGAUCAAAUUUCUUAUAAGAUGAUUAUUUUAAUUUUUACGCGUUUAACUUAGAAAUAAUACCAAAACAGUAGACCAAAUUAUCGGGCCAAUACUAUAUUAGAAAAUUAAUAGUCGCAAGAUUUAGAUAAUACUUUUGUUCAUUAAUUAGUUAUAUUCUUAUUUAUUGGGACCACCCAUUGUGUCAAGACACUUAAAAGACAAUUCGAAACAGUAGAAUAUCUUUUCUUAAGCAUACAUGUGUAUGUAUACAUGUAUAAUAACUAGUUGCUAAAUAAUAUUGUCGUUUCAAAUAGUGUUGUGUUAUCGGUUUUAAAUAGUCUAUAGCAUUAAAUGAUAAUGCUCCUUGAUAAUAGGAGAUGCCCUAUUUCUACCUUGUUGUAGAUAUUAAUAAUAAUCAUGGCAUAAUUAUAAAACCCCACAGUAUUGUUACACAAUAAUAAUAUAUGCACAAAUAAGGCAACUAUACCAACAUUAGAUUUAACGUUUGCUAUUUUGAAACUAUGAGGAAAUAAUUGCUGCAUAAAUAUAUAACAUGUGAUAUAAAUUAUAGUCAUGUUAUACAAUUUUUUAAUAAUUAACUAUGUCUUUUACUUACAUUUAUUAUGAGUGGUAACUACAAUUUUUUGUUAAGUACAAAUGGAUAUUUUUAAUUUGAUUGUUAUGAUUUUGUUAUGUGUCUUUGUGAUAAAUUUAACUAUUACUUUUUAAUUGUCUUAUAUUUCACAUUAUUUCAAUAUAGUUUUCAAGAUAAUUCAAGUCUUACAUCUAAUAUAUAAAAUAGACAUAUUAUGACAAUGUAUCUAGGAAUUACUGUAUAUUCUUUUCUUUUCUCUACUAGUUCCUUUCUCUUCUAACAUACUAAUUGGAAAAAGAACAAUAGCAAAGUUUGGUUUAUAAAAAGCAAAUGAUGUAUAAUGUAAUUACAUUUAUAUGUUAAGAUAAACAAUAUGAACAUACUAUAUAUAAAAAAUUAAGCUCCACAACAAAAUACUUGAAGUGGUGUUUAAUACGCUUAAAAAGUUCCAUUAAAUAUGUUAUAGAACAUAUAUAAAUGUUUGAUAGAGAAGAAAGCGCUUAUACCUAAUUAAAACAAAGUAUUAAAAAAAGACAUAUAUGAUGUAUUACAUGUUAGGUGAUAAGUUAAGAAUAUUGAACUAUACUUUAAGAAAGAUGUGAUUCAAUGAUUUAUUAUUUGUAUUAUCAAAUGCAAAAUGUACUCUAUUGCGAGCAAAAUAUUCAAAGCUGUAAAGCAACAUGAUUCUGGAGUUCUCGCACUCCAAAUAAAUAAUCAAAGGGUUAAUCUUAAAUUGGAAGGGUAUUUCUAUAUGAUAGAGGCAUUUCGUGUCAUGCGCAUACUUUAGUGUCUUGUGAUAACUUCUUUGUAAUUGCGUAGACAGGUUACCAAAUGAGGUGCCUAAAAACAUCUUUUACUGUUUCUGAGCUUUCUACAAAUGAAGCGAGACUAAAAACUGUCAGGGUCAAGAUCUUUAAGUCUGCCGAGCAGGUUGCCUUAAUCAUGCCUUACUUAAAUCGUUACAUAUGUAGUUAUGUAAUCUCGACCUCUGUGUACAAUUCUCUUGAGAUUAAAUUUCAUUCAAAUCUCCGCUUCGAUUAGAAAAAGAAAGGGAAAAUGCAGUACAGAAUAAGUAAUUUAUGUUGCAGUCAUUUUUGUAAUAUAUGAACAAAAAA